rnacentral:rRNA from 1 species
UUCGGAAUAACUCAGGGAAACUUGANCUAAUACCGGAUACGCCCUUCGGGGGAAAGAUUUAUUGCCGAAAGAUCGGCCCGCGUCCGAUUAGCUAGUUGGUGUGGUAAUGGCGCACCAAGGCGACGAUCGGUAGCUGGUCUGAGAGGAUGAUCAGCCACACUGGGACUGAGACACGGCCCAGACUCCUACGGGAGGCAGCAGUGGGGAAUAUUGGACAAUGGGCGCAAGCCUGAUCCAGCCAUGCCGCGUGAGUGAUGAAGGCCCUAGGGUUGUAAAGCUCUUUCGCCAGGGACGAUAAUGACGGUACCUGGAUAANAAGCCCCGGCUAACUUCGUGCCAGCAGCCGCGGUAAUACGAAGGGGGCUAGCGUUGUUCGGAAUCACUGGGCGUAAAGCGCACGUAGGCGGAUCUUUAAGUCAGGGGUGAAAUCCCGAGGCUCAACCUCGGAACUGCCUUUGAUACUGGAGGUCUCGAGUUCGGGAGAGGUGAGUGGAACUGCGAGUGUAAAGGUGAAAUUCGUANAUAUUCGCAAGAACACCAGUGGCGAAGGCGGCUCACUGGCCCGAUACUGACGCUGAAGUGCGAAAGCGUGGGGGAGCAAACAGGAUUAGAUACCCUGGUAGUCCAC